rnacentral:rRNA from 1 species
GAUGAACGCUGGCGGCGUGCCUAAUACAUGCAAGUCGAGCGAACGGACGAGAAGCUUGCUUCUCUGAUGUUAGCGGCGGACGGGUGAGUAACACGUGGAUAACCUACCUAUAAGACUGGGAUAACUUCGGGAAACCGGAGCUAAUACCGGAUGAUAUUUUGAACCGCAUGGUUCAACAGUGAAAGACGGUCUUGCUGUCACUUAUAGAUGGAUCCGCGCUGCAUUAGCUAGUUGGUAAGGUAACGGCUUACCAAGGCAACGAUGCAUAGCCGACCUGAGAGGGUGAUCGGCCACACUGGAACUGAGACACGGUCCAGACUCCUACGGGAGGCAGCAGUAGGGAAUCUUCCGCAAUGGGCGAAAGCCUGAUGGAGCAACGCCGCGUGAGUGAUGAAGGUCUUCGGAUCGUAAAGCUCUGUUAUUAGGGAAGAACAUAUGUGUAAGUAACUGUGCACAUCUUGACGGUACCUAAUCAGAAAGCCACGGCUAACUACGUG